GCAAUUUCAAGGGUAUAUAUAUUAAAAAACCUCGAAAAAUCAGCAAACCGGCGCGUCUUCCUACCUCGAUCUCUAGAUUCUUAAGGUGGAAUUAGGGUUGGGGUAUUUUAUGUCCACGUCCCAAAGACCUAUCCAUCUCACUCCAAACCCUUCUUUUUCUUCCUAUUUUCUUGCAGAAAUCCUUUUUCCAGUGGGAAACACCUCCUCCAUCCUCACCUAGUACGACAUCGGAGAUGGCCAGGAGCACUGCAACCACGCCUUAAGCUCCUCCUAAUCCCCUCUUUGUUUCGCAGCAAGAGAUUGUCUCCCUUACCACAUGCUCUGCUAUCUUGAUCGCAUCAGUGGAGGAUUUAUCCUUGCAUUCAAACCUCUCUCUCAGGACUUGACAGGGCCUUUUAUGAUAUAAAUCCAGGUUUUUGAGUUCUUUAGUCACUCAGAUAAAAAUCCUUAUUCAAGGUUGCAGUUAUUGAUCUGUUCAUCUUCAUAAAUAUCAAUGA